AUGAGGCUGGCUGCGGUCAUCGACACGAUCAUCUCCCCCACGCAAUCUGCAUUCCAGAGGGCCAAAUGCAUCCACAACAGUUUUCUCUUCGUCGAGAAUAGUGUUCGCGCUCUUCAUCACCACAAAACACCCACCCUCCUGCUGAAAUUAGACAUAGCGAAGGCCUUCGACAGUGUGUCGUGGGAAUACAUCUUAGAGCUGCUAGAAAAAAUGGGCUUCCCAGCGCGCUGGAGGGACUGGGUAGCUCUACUCCUUUCAACCUCGUCUUCAGCCUGCCUCCUCAAUGGCAUUCCAGGCUGCCCCAUCGAGCACCGGCGUGGCCUGCAGCAGGGCGACCAGCUCUCCCCCUUGCUGUUCAUCCUCUGCAUCGACCCGCUGCAUAGACUCUAAGAAGCUGCAACUAGAGAUGGCCUUCUCCAACCAAUCCCCGGGAGGACAGUGCACAUGCGCACUACUCUUUACGCAGACGAUGCAGUCAUGUUCAUCAAUCUCGCACGAUAGGAGAUCGACGAGCUGCUACACAUCCUGCAUCUCUUCGACGAGGCAACCGGGCUGCGCGUCAACCUAGAAAAAUCGUCGGCCAUCCCGAUCGCGUGCGACGUAAUUGACCUGCACACGGUCCUGCACAACUUUGGGGGCGCGAUCGCGUCCUUGCCAAUCAGAUAUCUCGGCCUGCCAAUCACCACGGCCAGGCUUAGAUUAGUGCACCUCCAAUUCAUCCUCGAUAGGAUCCGCGCACGCCUGGCAGGUUGGAAAGGGAGGCUGAUGCCCAUCGCCAGCAGACGCGUCCUGGUUCGCUGCGUGCUCUCAGCAAUGCCCACAUUCGCCAUCACCGUGCUGCGGGCGCCCAAGAAGUUCUACAAGGAAGUGGACAAGGCCAGGAGUCGCUUCCUAUGGGCGCAAGACGAAGAGGCCACUGGUGGAAACUGCAAGGUAGGAUGUCAGGUGGUGACCGCGCCAGUGCGCGUCGGGGGCCUAGGUAUUCAUGAUCUGCCAAAGUUUGCCCGCGCCCUUCGCCUGCGCUGGUUAUGGCUAGCAUGGACACAGCCAUCCUGCCCUUGGGUCGGCAUCGGUACCCCGUGCGACGAUGCUGGUCACACUUUGUUCGCUGCCUGCACGUCUAUCACCGUCGGGGACGGAACAACAGCAUCCUUCUAG
rnacentral:rRNA from 1 species